rnacentral:rRNA from 1 species
GACGAACGCUGGCGGCGUGCUUAACACAUGCAAGUCGAACGAUGAAGCCGGAGCUUGCUCUGGUGAAUUAGUGGCGAACGGGUGAGUAACACGUGAGUAACCUGCCCUUGACUCUGGGAUAACUGCGGGAAACUGUAGCUAAUACCGGAUACGACCCUCGGAGGCAUCUCCUGGGGGUGGAAAGAAUUUCGGUCAAGGAUGGACUCGCGGCCUAUCAGCUAGUUGGUGAGGUAAAGGCUCACCAAGGCGACGACGGGUAGCCGGCCGGAGAGGGUGACCGGGCACACUGGGACUGAGACACGGCCCAGACUGCAACGGGAGGCAGCAGAGGGGAAUAUUGCGCAAUGGGCGCGAGCCUGAUGAAGAAACGCCGCGUGAGGGAUGACGGCUUUCGGGUUGUAAACCUCUGUUAGCAGGGAAGAAGCGAAAGUGACGGUACCUGCAGAAAAAGCACCGGCUAACUACGUGCCAGCAGCCGCAGUAA